CAGCCGCCGCGGUAAUACGGAGGGUGCAAGCGUUAUCCGGAUUUAUUGGGUUUAAAGGGUCCGUAGGCGGAUCUGUAAGUCAGUGGUGAAAUCUCACAGCUUAACUGUGAAACUGCCAUUGAUACUGCAGGUCUUGAGUAAAUUUGAAGUGGCUGGAAUAAGUAGUGUAGCGGUGAAAUGCAUAGAUAUUACUUAGAACACCAAUUGCGAAGGCAGGUCACUAAGAUUUAACUGACACUGAGGCACGAAAGCGUGGGGAGCAAACAGGAUUAGAUACCCCCGUAGUCCCUGUCUCUUAUAC
rnacentral:rRNA from 1 species